UUAAAAAUCUCACAUACCACCCCCACCCCUCGCUCUCUCUGCUUCCUCUCUUAAGUCUUAACUCAAGUCUAAACUUUACAUCGGGAUUACAACAGAUAUAUGCAUGUCGUUCCAUCAAACACCAAUCUCUCAUGGCCACGUUCUUGCUAUCUGACCUUGCCGGAGAUCCUCCUUUCUCCCGGCCGAUCUCCGGCAGAACUCGCCCCAAGAUGAUCUGAAAGUAAACCUUUCUUGAUUGGCACGUGGGGCCUCUAUUAUAAUUUCUCCAUACAUCUAUCAUUUUUUCUUUCUUGUCCCCACGGCAGUUAGUCCGGCGAUUGCCUGUAAGAAUUCAUCAAUUGUCGUCAUAUUCCGCUGACUCUGUUCUUACACAUUAUUGAAGUUUCUGGUGGCAUUCCUCAGGCGUUCGGUCUUCCGUUUUCGUUGCGCCUUUUAUUUCCCUUUUGUUUCUUCCCGGAAUCAGGUCAGAGUUCAAGAAUCCAUUCGAAUUGGCUUUUUCUUGUGUGUGUUGAAUUCUUCCUUUCAAUUCCUCUUGAACUUGAAAGGGUUUACAUUUGUCCUCCGACGAAAUUAGGUCAAAACGUUUCCUUUAUUCCUUCUCUCUGCUUCUUAUUCUGUUACUACCGCUUGGAAGAUUCUAGCUUGUUCCGCCCAUCUGGAAAUCUUUAAAUCUUCGUCCGAAUUUUCAGAUUUGAUAAGGUUUUCCCCUUUUUAUCUCAAGCGGCUGCAAAAUUGGUUAGUUCGUCUUCUAUUCAGCUCAGGCUCGUGUUUUUUUUUUUUUUUGAUUGGUUUAAAUCUCGUGAUUUUUGCUUAGAAGUGUUCUAUGUCGGUUCUCUUUUUCUAUUUUAUGACAUUCGAUUUGGAUCUCGAGCUUCAACCUCGUCGUUGAAAACUGAGAAGUUCAUAAAAACCAGGUUUUGUUCUCUUCUGGUGGGGGAAUUUUAAGGAAUGUCUGGGGCGGGGCAGGCCGUCAAACACGUAGAUUUUUCAAAAAUGGAGACCAAGAAGACAUCGGAAGAUGAACGGCGUUCAGGUUGUUGCAAUCCUGUCAAGACAUCGGGGCCUGUGUCCAUGGAUCAUGUCCUUCUAGCACUGCGUGAAACCAAGGAAGAGAGGGAGCUGAGGAUCCGCAGUCUUUUUAAUUUCUUCGAUGUUGCGGAUGUCGGAUUUUUGGACUAUGCGCAGAUUGAGGCAGGCCUUUCUGCACUACAGAUACCUGCGGAAUAUAAGUACGCAAAGGAUCUUUUAAAGGUCUGUGAUGCAAAUAGAGAUGGCCGGGUUGAUUACCAAGAGUUCCGACGGUAUAUGGAUGACAAAGAACUUGAGCUUUAUCGCAUCUUUCAGGCUAUUGAUGUUGAGCAUAAUGGUUGCAUUUUACCAGAAGAGCUCUGGGACGCCCUUGUUAGAGCUGGUAUUGAAAUUGAUGAUGAAGAACUUGCCCGUUUUGUGGAACAUGUGGACAAGGAUAACAAUGGAGUUAUAACAUUUGAAGAAUGGAGAGAUUUCCUUCUACUCUAUCCCCAUGAGGCUACUAUUGAGAAUAUUUAUCAUUACCUGGAGAGGGUAUGCCUUGUAGAUAUUGGGGAGCAGGCUGUUAUUCCAGAAGGCAUCAGCAAGCAUGUCCAUGCAAGCAGAUAUUUAAUAGCAGGAGGUGUUGCAGGAGCAACAUCCCGUACUGUGACAGCUCCUCUUGAUCGCUUAAAGGUGGUUUUGCAAGUCCAGACAACACGUGCUUGCAUUAUGCCUUCCAUAAAGGACAUAUGGCGGGAAGGUGGUUUUCUGGGAUUUUUCCGAGGGAAUGGAUUAAAUGUUCUGAAGGUAACACCUGAAAGUGCUAUAAGGUUUUACACUUAUGAAAUGCUGAAGAAUUUGAUUGUCAAUGCUAAAGGGGAAGAAAAGGAUGGUAUUGGUACUUCUGGGUGCCUUGUUGCCGGUGGUAUUGCAGGUGCAGUUGCACAGACUGCUAUUUAUCCAAUGGAUCUUGUAAAAACUCGAUUGCAGACUUAUGCUUGUGAAGGUGGAAAAGUUCCUAAACUCAGAGCUUUAACAAAAGACAUAUGGAUUCAAGAGGGGCCUCGAGCCUUCUACAGAGGUGUUGUUCCAUCUCUUCUUGGGAUUAUUCCUUAUGCAGGAAUAGACCUUGCUGCAUAUGAGACCUUAAAAGAUAUGUCAAAAAUAUAUAUUCUCCAUGAUAGUGAACCUGGCCCACUUGUGCAACUGGGAUGUGGGACAAUUUCGGGUGCUCUUGGAGCGACAUGUGUUUACCCAUUACAGGUUAUCAGAACAAGAAUGCAAGCCCAGCGGUCUAAUACAGCUGCUUCUUACAAAGGAAUGUCAGAUGUCUUUUGGAGAACCUUCAAGCAUGAAGGUUUUAGAGGAUUCUACAAAGGAAUCUUUCCGAAUCUGCUCAAGGUUGUGCCAUCUGCAAGCAUUACGUAUCUUGUUUAUGAAACUAUGAAAAAGAGUCUUGAUCUUGAAUAAUGGAUAGGAUGGCUUUGCCUGAUGGCUACCAUCAUUGAGAAAGCUGGCUUCAGACUUUACAUUGAUGGUGGUAGUGGGAAUGAUGAUGAUGAUAACAAGAAAAUGUUACUAAGGGAUGGGCAAUGGGAUUAUUUCAGUUAAUAUUGGCAAGAUGAUACUUCCCGUUUCACAAUACAAGGUGCAUUAUUGUAUAGUCAAAGUUUUUGCAGGCAUGUUUGAACUAACUACACUGAGUUACCUCAAGUUAUGACACCUGACUUCCAUGUACUAGGAAACAAAGUGAUGUUACAAUACAGACUACCCAAGGAGAGGCACGAGCUGGUACCCCUCCACAACAACAAAGUACUACAUCAGGCUCAGAAAUGAAAGUUUACAGAGCUGCCCAGAAUAAAUGUUCCCUUGAUACCCCUUGUACUCUUGUUAUAGUUUUAAUAAAUUUUACUUUACAUUCAAAGAAUGUUUAAAUUCAAAAGAUUGGAUUUAAUUCAAAACCGAGUAUAAUUAACAUA